CAGUCGCCACGGUAAUACGAAGGGUGCAAGCGUUACUCGGAAUUACUGGGCGUAAAGCGUGCGUAGGUGGUGGUUUAAGUCCGUUGUGAAAGCCCUGGGCUCAACCUGGGAAUUGCAGUGGAUACUGGGUCACUAGAGUGUGGUAGAGGAUAGUGGAAUUUCCGGUGUAGCAAUGAAAUGCGUAGAGAUCGGAAGGAACAUCUGUGGCGAAGGCGACUAUCUGGGCCAACACUGACACUGAGGCACGAAAGCGUGGGGAGCAAACAGGAUUAGAUACCCCUGUAGUCCCUGUCUCUUAUAC
rnacentral:rRNA from 1 species